rnacentral:lncRNA from 1 species
GUUCAGCACUACUCUGGUAUCUGACUGCCUACGAUAAGCCCUUUUUUCCAGAUCAGUUGUAAUUCUCCUCCCGAAGUAAAGGGAAAGACCACAUCAGCUGAAGGCAGUUGUCUUCCAAUUGCUAUUAAGGCAGUGUUUGUAGCUACUUAUAAACAUCUGUAAUUUCUGAAAGAAAAGAAAUAUACAACAAACAAAAACAGCCUCCCUUCUACAACAACUUAUAUAAUGGCAACUAUGAUAUCUUUAUAAGAGAUAAAAGAGAUUCAAAGACAACAUAGAAAAAAUUUUUAAAUGUCUGAAACGGUUGAAAAUUAGUAACUUCAUGGGACAACAUAGCUGUCAAUAUUCAUACAUAAUGAAAAUCAUAAGGAUCAUAUAUACAUGUAAACACAUAAUUGAAUUUUCAGAGAAGAAGAUUUAUUUAAGGGAUAAUUUUUUUUAAAAGGCAGAGUCAAAAGGUAAAAAUAUUUUCAAUGAAAAAGAAAAAGCUUCAAAAAAAACAACAAAAAAUAUAAAAUAAUCUAUGAGAUUAUCAAUAAACAAAAAGAAAAAUCUUCUACAUUAGCUAUAAAAAUAUAGAAAAGUUCUGCUGGCUAUAAUGUAUUGUAGAAAUAAAGACCAGGUUUCCUACAUUGGGGAUGGAAUGAAUCAC